UUCAUAUAUUCAAAACAUUAAGAUUCCACAUCCUUUAAAAAAAAAAAUAGUAUUUUUAUUAUUAUUUAAUACCAUAGGAUAAAAAGAGAUCCCUCCUUCUAGAUACCUAUUCCAGUCAGUACGAAUGAUGUCACUGUUGUACAAUACACACAGGUACAUGAUGGUACACUAUUAGACUCCUAAGGAACAGAAUGGGAUUUAUCUUUAUAGGUAUACAGAAGUUGUAGCUGAUUUGCUACAUUGGCCUCCAUUGCUUCUUCUCAUGGUUUUAAACUAGGAUGUGGAGGUUUAGAUUAGAUAUUAGGAGGAAGUUUUUCAUACGGAGAGUGGUGAUGCACUGGAACAGGUUACCCAAGGAGGUUGUGGAUGCCCCAUCCCUAGAUGCAUUCAAGGCCAGGCUGGAUGUAGCUCUGGGCAGCCUGGUCUAGUGGUUGGUGACCCUGCACAUAGCAGGGGGGUUGAAACUUGAUGAUCAUUGUGGUCUUUUCAACCCAGGCCAUUCUAUUAUACUAUGAUACCUGCUCAAACACUACUGUUGAACACAAGUAAGAUACAAAUUACAUCUUCAUUCAUUUUAUUUUCAAGGUUUACAUCAGAAUAUCUUCUAAAGUUUUGAAGAAAACUUUGCAAUUAAUCUUUCAAUUCCCUUUUGCAAAACAUUCUUUCCAGAAAGUAAGUUGCCCAGCUAGUUUUAGACAACUUUGUUUGUGUUCUUUUCCUAGGUUCAUUUUUGUCGGACUUAGUAGGACUUCUGCAAAUUGGAUUGCAAAGUGUAUAGUUUUAAAAUUUUAAAUAUGAAAUAAUUAUACAAAAAUAUAAAGACCUAGCAAAUGUAUAAUGACAUACAUGCCUGUAUAUGACAAUGCACACACAUAAUUUACUACAGUGAACAGAAUACAGUGGAGUAAAAGAAAAAUACAUAGUCUUUUAUUAUUAUAUGCUUUAUAUGCAUUUUUUCCGUUGCAGUAAUUCAAACAAUAACUACGAACAUUUUAAGAAUUUAAAGGAGAUAAUUCAAGGCAUGCUAUAAUUUAAUAUUUUCAAAGACAUUCUUAUCUCUUUUUUUCCUGGCUUACUGCCUUCUGUUGCUUCACACAAUAAGUUACAUUCCAUCUUUGCCAAGAUUUUUUGGUAUUUUUGUUGUUGUUGUUUGGUUUUGCUGGGUCUUUUUUUGAUAGUCAUACCUCCACUCCUUUUGUUUUUAGGGACAAGAAAAAGGAAGAAGAAAAGAUUUUUCCUUUCAAAUGACUUUUCUUUUAAUUCUUUCCUUUUCCACACAAAGCCAGUUCUUACAGCCAUGGGAAAUGCUAUCACUAUGUUUACAUCUGAAUUAGGGACAUUGAAGAUAACAGUAGUAACAAAACUAAUGACAGAAAGAAUCACUACUGACAGAAUAUUUUAUAAAUUGAAAGUAUUAUUUCAAUAUUGAACUGGAUUCUUCUCUGGAAUAGUUUCUCCUUUUUGCUGUUAUUAUAUCAGGGAACAUUAUCACUGAUGCAAUCCUUUUAUCUCUUACUUAAUAGAUACAUGGAUUUUGCUUAAUGUAUACACAGUAAUUCCUUCUUCUUACAGACAUAAAGCAUCUCCACACUUAUAUCCCUUUUUAUUUUUGACUGCAGGAACUUCUGCUUUGCUGUUUUGCAGUGUCAAUUCAAAUAUUGUUGUAUUGUGGCUUUAAUGGAGCAAGUAGCAAUGGAACCCUUCAUUUGGUAGUUACAAAAAUGUUCAUGUGAAGAACAUGCAAUCUCUUUUUCUUUUCUUGCAUCUUAGCUUCUUGUGAAAAGAUGAUGGAGGGGAGACAAGGGUACAAAUUUAGUCGCCUACAUAUUUACAUGCAACAUGGGACUUUCAUGGACCAACAUUCAUAUCAGUGGUGCCCAGGGAUAGGACAAGAGGCGAUGGAAACAAACUGAACACAAGAAAUUCUAUCUAAACAUAAGAAAAAUAAAAUUCAAUAUGAAGAUGAUCAGAGUGGCACAGGUUGCCCAGAGGAGUUGUUGGAUGUUUCUCCUCGGAGUUCAAAAAUACCUGAUUGGAUAUAGCUUUGAGUGACCUCCUCUAGCUGACCCUGCUCAAGCAGGGAGUUUGGACUAGGCAGUCUCCAGAAGCCUCUUCCCAUAUCAGCCAUGCUAUGAUUCUCCCAUUCUGUGAAAGAAAACACUGCGCAAGCAACAGAUGUUUUGCAGACAUACCCCUACAUACUCUCUGGCUCCAUCAGGUCUUCUCAACCCUAACUGGAAGGGGCUAUCUGUAAGAGCAGGAGGGGAAAUCUUCUUUCCUCCCUGUUCAUUGCUUCCUUGGCUGCUUCCCCUUGGAGAUAACUAACUGAGGCCUUCAUCAUACAAAUUCUUAUACAUGCGAUAAACUAUCACAGGAGAGAUUCCAUUAAAGCUAGUAACAUUACUGAUGUGGUUGGAGUUCAGACAUACACAAACAUGCCUGGAGGAUAAGACCUAUAAACUGCUUUUUCUUUAAGCUGUUCUGGUGUUUUCAGUGGUAGCAACAUUUGACUGCUGGAAUGUAGAAAGACGUCGGAUGAUGAUACCAAUAUCACUCUGAUGAAGCCAAACACCAUUUCAAGCUUCUGUAACUUCAGCUGUUUAAAAGCUUUGGGAUUCAAGUCUGCUGUAAAUCUCCAGUCAAACAAUCACCAUCAAGUGUUGAAGAAACAGGAGAAGGUUUCAAAGCCUCUCCUGGGCCAGGGCAUCCAGCAUUCUGAAAGGAAAGGGGUGCCUAGGAAAGCUCUUUACUUCCUGGUGUUAUUUAAAAAAAGCCUUUCAACUGUCAAGCAAAAAAGAACUAAGCUAUUGUAAUAGCCAGCACUCUCACCUCUCAUGGGGAAGAAAUAUUUCAGGGCUUCAUUACACCUCCAGAUAUACAAUUAGCUAAGCUCUCACUAAAAUACCUGCCACUCUUAAUUUAAUUCUUUGAAGCAGUCAGGGCUGAAAAUGACACUACUGUUUCUUACUACAGAAACAGCCAUGAUUACAAGGCAUUGUAAUAUUCAGUCAAAUGCCUCUGGAAAUUCAUUAUAAAUGAACAUUCAUGAGAGUACCUAUGAUGAUCAGGUCCCUAAGCAGUGGCUGGCAGCAGCUAACCUAUCCUACCCACUGCAUCAUUUCAGUGAUUUCAUGUAUUUUCAAUAGAAAAAUCUGAUAUUUCACAUAUUUUGAUGUCAUUUACAAAAAUAUAUGAUAAAAGAAGUAAAAUAUAAGUUAAGGAAAUUCUGUAAAAUGCCAUUUUGGGAACAAGGAAGACUUUGACACACUAAUUUGAACAGUAGUAGCUCAUCUUAGAUCCUACUCAUGUUUACAGUCUUCUAUUUAGUUGCACUGAACACUAGGUUGCAGACAUCUCCAGUAUAGUAGAAAAACUUCAACUAGCAGACUUAGUUGUCACUUCUGAAAAAAAAAGAAAAAAAAAAGAAAAAAUUGCUGUUGGGCACUACCCAAGAUCACACAAUAUGUUAUGGGCAAAGCUAAAUAUAAUAUACCUAAAUAUGAACCUUUCUAGUCAAUAAAACUCAUGAAAAAAGCCAGUCAGAUGCUUGCUAAAUUCCACUUAUUAAUCAACUGAAAAUUUUUGUCCUGUGUGCCAUUCUGGGAAACAUUUAGAAAACAUAAAAAAGAUAAAGACUGGACCAGGCUCUGAGCAGUCUGAUUUAGCUGUCAAUGUCCCUGUUCAUUGCAGGGGAGUUGGACUAGGUGAACUUUCAAUGUCCCUUCUAACUCAAAAUUUCUAUAACUCUUUGAUUUUGUGAUUCUACCAAGUUAGUAUUUAAUCCAUCUAAUUUUUUAUGUAGUUGGAUAUAAAUAUUACUCUUUUUAAAUUUACCAUUCUUAUUGUAUUUAAUUGCUUUACAACAGUUAGAAGCUGAACUAAAGAUGAAAGUACUUUUUCUCUUCAUUAGACUUCUUUUUAACCUACAGAUUUGUUUUUUAAAGAAAAUGAAUAAUGCAUAAGAAGAUCUGUGCCAAUUAUGAACUCAAUUAUGUCUUACGGAUUUUUUUUCCCAUAUAGUUGUGAGCUUCAGCCAAAUCUCUUGCAUGAAAAUAAAAUGUGUCAGUUUAGUCGCAGAGCAACUAAAAACAAUAACUGACUAGGUCUACCUCCUUCAGAGAUCACUGGUCUCCAGUUGUAAGAGGUCUUCAGUAGCAGAAAGGACCUCCUGGCAACAAUAGUACAAUACUCUGAUUUCAGAACAGUGUAUGUUGUACUGAGAGCCAUACCUAAAAUAUCUGUGGAUUCUAGAACAGAACGUUCAGGCCUAUUGUCCUGGGAAAACUAAAAAUGAACAAAAUCAAUUUCAUAGAUGGUUCAGAUGUUAAUGCCUACCUUGUGUCUGAGGCAAAAAAUAAACACAGAUGUACAGAUAUUAUUUAACUCAUAUGAAAAAGAAGUCAUUUUCCAACCAUGCUGCAACUGCAUUUAAUGGAAAACUCACAGGUAAUCUCCUCCUCAGUUCUCUCUCUCAAGCAAGAUGAGACAGAGGGAGCACUUCCAUAAUUUCCAUCACAUAAAUUAUCAUAGAAUCCUUAGAGUUGGAAGGGACCCUUAAAGGCCAUCUAGUCCACCUCCCCUGGAAUGAAGAGGGACACCUACAGCUACAUCAGGUUGCCCAGAGUCCUGACCAGCCUGACCUUGAGUGUCUCCAGGUAUGAGGCAUCCAUCUCUCUGGGCAACCUCUGCCAGUGCUUCAUGACCAAGAAGAGAAAGAUGAAGAAGAUGAAGAUGACAAAGAAGACAGAGAAAUAAAAGAAAAAAAAAAAAAAGAAAAAACACUUUGUUGUAGCCCAAGCUGUCUAUAAAAGAAAAAGCAGAGCUGUACAUAAAAUAAAAUGUUACAAAAAAGAGAACAAUCUGCUUUGCAUAAUUUGGCUAAGACUAGACGUAUUAAUAUAGUAAUAUAUAUUACUAUAGGCUAGAUAUAUUAAUACAGUAAUAUUUUCUGAUGGAAACUUUUCCAGAACUAUCAUAAAUCAGUGACAACAUUAAAGUGAGUAUGUCAAGAUAAUUAGGAAAAUGGAGAAUAUUAUUUCCUUAGUUCUAUUAUGCAUUUAUAUUUUAGGAUUGCAUAACUGUCUUUCUAAAUGUAAUCACCCAUGCUCUACAUCAAAUGUACAUAUAUAAGACAUAAACUAUUAACAGAUCCCCAGUUUGUUCAUGGAGUGACUGGUAUGUUAAAAAAGGGUGAUUGGAUUUACUCUUUAGAAAACAACACUCUACUUAUGGAAAAGAAAAGCAAGCCUUGGUAAGUAUCAUGCACUUUAUCUUUCAUAAUUAGUUUUGCUGUCCAUGCAUGGGCAGUUGCAUUUGGCUGUCCCACAUGCAUGCUUCAAGCUGUAGUUCAGUCUCAGCCUUGAGUUUCAGGGAUUUUGACAUGUCGUCGUUUAUCUCCCUACUUUAUGCAACAAGGAAACAUAUUUACAGCCUUCUGACCCUUUGCAUUGUGUCUCUAAGUACAACGUAUAAAUUUAUGUGCAUACCAGGAAUCCCCUUGCAUCUAGUGAAAUCCACAUGUAAUUUUCUGUGCCCAUAUUCCACCAUAUUUUUACAUGAACACAUGGCUUUUAUAACAGAUCCUGCUCAUAAUUUGAGGCCUGCCUUUUUCUGCAAUCCAGCCAUGGAAUGGAUUUUUAUUAAUAGGGCCCUAAGACUUUACACUUGACUUUGGAAAAAGAGCGGGCACUGGUGCCAAGUUUUGAACUACAUGAUCAUAAUUCGGUCUGUUGUGUCACACACAUUCAAAAAGGUAGUUCUAAAAUUCAUGUCCUC
ensembl:lncRNA